CUAGCAAUAGGUAUGCUUAGGGAGGAGCUUGCGUCACAUUAGUUAGUUGGUGGGGUAAAGGCCUACCAAGACUAUGAUGUGUAGCCGGGCUGAGAGGUUGAACGGCCACAUUGGGACUGAGACACGGCCCAAACUCCUACGGGAGGCAGCAGUAGGGAAUUUUCGGCAAUGGAGGAAACUCUGACCGAGCAACGCCGCGUGAACGAUGAAGUAUUUCGGUACGUAAAGUUCUUUUAUUAGGGAAGAAUAAAUGAUGGAAAAAUCAUUCUGACGGUACCUAAUGAAUAAGCCCCGGCUAACUAUGUGCCAGCAGCCGCGGUAAUACAUAGGGGGCAAGCGUUAUCCGGAAUUAUUGGGCGUAAAGGGUGCGUAGGCGGUUAAAUAAGUUUAUGGUCUAAGUGCAAUGCUCAACAUUGUGAUGCUAUAAAAACUGUUUAGCUAGAGUAAGAUAGAGGCAAGUGGAAUUCCAUGUGUAGUGGUAAAAUGCGUAAAUAUAUGGAGGAACACCAGUAGCGAAGGCGGCUUGCUGGGUCUUUACUGACGCUGAGGCACGAAAGCGUGGGGAGCAAACAGGAUUAGAUACCCUGGUAGUCCACGCCGUAAACGAUGAGUACUAAACGUUGGGUAAAACCAGUGUUGAAGUUAACACAUUAAGUACUCCGCCUGAGUAGUACGUACGCAAGUAUGAAACUUAAAGGAAUUGACGGGACUCCGCACAAGCGGUGGAUCAUGUUGUUUAAUUCGAAGGUACCCGAAAAACCUCACCAGGUCUUGACAUGCUUCUGCAAAGCUGUAGAAACACAGUGGAGGUUAUCAGUUGCACAGGUGGUGCAUGGUUGUCGUCAGCUCGUGUCGUGAGAUGUUGGGUUAAGUCCCGCAACGAGCGCAACCCUUAUUGUUAGUUACCAGCACGUAAUGGUGGGGACUUUAGCAAGACUGCCAGUGAUAAAUUGGAGGAAGGUGGGGACGACGUCAAAUCAUCAUGCCCCUUAUGACCUGGGCUACAAACGUGAUACAAUGGCUGUUACAAAGGGUAGCUGAAGCGCAAGUUUUUGGCGAAUCUCAAAAAAACAGUCUCAGUUCGGAUUGAAGUCUGCAACUCGACUUCAUGAAGUUGGAAUC
rnacentral:rRNA from 1 species